rnacentral:misc_RNA from 1 species
GAUGAAGAACGUAGCGAAAUGCGAUAAGUAAUGUGAAUUGCAGAAUUCAGUGAAUCAUCGAAUCUUUGAACGCACAUUGCGCCCCCCGGUAUUCCGGCGGGCAUGCCUGUUCGAGCGUCAUUUAAACCUUCAAGCUAAGCUUGGUGUUGGGUGACUGUCCGCUUCACGGCGGACUCGCCUCAAAAUUAUUGGCGGCCGGUACAUUGGCUUCGAGCGCAGCAGAAACGCGAACUCGGGCCCGUCGUAUUGGCUCCCAGAAGCUAUCUUCACAAUUUUGACCUCGGAUCAGGUAGGGAUACCCGCUGAACUUAAGCAUAUCAAUAAGCGGAGGA